UUAUAUAUCAAUGAUGAAAUAUUAACAUUGCAACACAUGCCAAUACGGCCUUUUUAGUUUACUAUAUUACAAUUUUAAAUUUCCCGGGAGUUUCGUCCUGGAAACGUCGUGUAAUGAUGACGUGUACGCAAGACUUCACGGGUCUUAAGAAAGUAUGAGCGCUGCACACACAGCUAAAAGUCGUCUGCUCAAACGGCAUAAUUACACAGUGUUUUGGAGAUCUGUGUUGCUGAAUCUUUUGCAAUUUCUUCAAUUAAUACUGGAGAAGUCACAGUAGAAAGAUGGAGUUGGGAAUCUUUAGCCUUGAGCCACACAAACACACGGUGAUUCCUUGUUUAAAAUUCCUGGAGGUGAAACGUUACUAUGGAUCAGAGCGGGGUCAAGCCAACAUGAAUCAAGACGGAAUGUCAACCAGCAGGUUUCGCUGCCGUCGACUCCCCUGAGACACUGCGCAUCAAGACAUCCGUGGAGACACACUUCCGACUAUCAGGAAUACGUACAAUGAGAGAAACAAUGUGACGUUUUCCAAAAAUGAUGGCGCAGUAAUGCAAGA